rnacentral:rRNA from 1 species
CCUACGGGUGGCAGCAGUGGGGAAUAUUGGACAAUGGGCGAAAGCCUGAUCCAGCCAUGCCGCGUGUGUGAAGAAGGCCUUCGGGUUGUAAAGCACUUUCAGUGGGGAAGAAAGCCUUGGGGCUAAUACCCUCGAGGAAGGACAUCACCCACAGAAGAAGCACCGGCUAACUCCGUGCCAGCAGCCGCGGUAAUACGGAGGGUGCGAGCGUUAAUCGGAAUUACUGGGCGUAAGCGCGCGUAGGCGGUCUGAUAAGCCGGUUGUGAAAGCCCCGGGCUCAACCUGGGAACGGCAUCCGGAACUGUCAGGCUAGAGUGCAGGAGAGUAAGGUAGAAUUCCCGGUGUAGCGGUGAAAUGCGUAGAGAUCGGGAGGAAUACCAGUGGCGAAGGCGGCCUUCUGGACUGACACUGACGCUGAGGUGCGAAAGCGUGGGUAGCAAACAGGAUUAGAUACCCGUGUAGUC